CGGCGGACGGGUGAGUAACGCGUGGGCAACCUGCCUUACACAGGGGGAUAACAGUUAGAAAUGACUGCUAAUACCGCAUAAGACCACGAAGCCGCAUGGCUAAGUGGUAAAAACUCCGGUGGUGUAAGAUGGGCCCGCGUCUGAUUAGGUAGUUGGCGGGGUAACGGCCCACCAAGCCGACGAUCAGUAGCCGACCUGAGAGGGUGACCGGCCACAUUGGGACUGAGACACGGCCCAGACUCCUACGGAAGGCAGCAG
rnacentral:rRNA from 1 species